AUUGAACGCUGGCGGCAGGCUUAACACAUGCAAGUCGAGCGGGGGAAGGUAGCUUGCUACAUUACCUAGCGGCGGACGGGUGAGUAAUGCUUAGGAAUCUGCCUAUUAGUGGGGGACAACAUUCCGAAAGGAAUGCUAAUACCGCAUACGCCUACGGGGGAAAGCAGGGGAUCUUCGGACCUUGCGCUAAUAGAUGAGCCUAAGUCAGAUUAGCUAGUUGGUGGGGUAAAGGCCUACCAAGGCGACGAUCUGUAGCGGGUCUGAGAGGAUGAUCCGCCACACUGGGACUGAGACACGGCCCAGACUCCUACGGGAGGCAGCAGUGGGGAAUAUUGGACAAUGGGCGAAAGCCUGAUCCAGCCAUGCCGCGUGUGUGAAGAAGGCCUUUUGGUUGUAAAGCACUUUAAGCGAGGAGGAGGCUACUUGGAUUAAUACUCUAGGAUAGUGGACGUUACUCGCAGAAUAAGCACCGGCUAACUCUGUGCCAGCCGCCGCAGUAA
rnacentral:rRNA from 1 species